GGUUAAGCGACUAAGCGUACACGGUGGAUGCCCUGGCAGUCAGAGGCGAUGAAGGGCGUGCUAAUCUGCGAUAAGCGCCGGUAAGGUGAUAUGAACCGUUAUAACCGGCGAUACCCGAAUGGGGAAACCCAGUGUGAUUCGUCACACUAUCAUUAACUGAAUCCAUAGGUUAAUGAGGCGAACCGGGGGAACUGAAACAUCUAAGUACCCCGAGGAAAAGAAAUCAACCGAGAUUCCCCCAGUAGCGGCGAGCGAACGGGGAGGAGCCCAGAGCCUGAAUCAGCAUGUGUGUUAGUGGAAGCGUCUGGAAAGGCGCGCGAUACAGGGUGACAGCCCCGUACACAAAAGCGCAUGUGCUGUGAGCUCGAUGAGUAGGGCGGGACACGUGGUAUCCUGUCUGAAUAUGGGGGGACCAUCCUCCAAGGCUAAAUACUCCUGACUGACCGAUAGUGAACCAGUACCGUGAGGGAAAGGCGAAAAGAACCCCGGCGAGGGGAGUGAAAAAGAACCUGAAACCGUGUACGUACAAGCAGUGGGAGCCCCACCACCAAAGCAUUCUCUGGUGUUGAAGGCCCUGCAAAGCAGCAUCGCGGUGGCGGAGCGUCGUUUGCGACGCCCAACACACAAAACAAGCGGUGAAUGCUUUGGGGUGGGGUGACUGCGUACCUUUUGUAUAAUGGGUCAGCGACUUAUAUUCUGUAGCAAGGUUAACCGAAUAGGGGAGCCGGAGGGAAACCGAGUCUUAAUUGGGCGUUAAGUUGCAGGGUAUAGACCCGAAACCCGGUGAUCUAGCCAUGGGCAGGUUGAAGGUUGGGUAACACUAACUGGAGGACCGAACCGACUAAUGUUGAAAAAUUAGCGGAUGACCUGUGGCUGGGGGUGAAAGGCCAAUCAAACCGGGAGAUAGCUGGUUCUCCCCGAAAGCUAUUUAGGUAGCGCCUCGUGAAUUCAUCUCCGGGGGUAGAGCACUGUUUCGGCUAGGGGGCCAUCCCGGCUUACCAACCCGAUGCAAACUGCGAAUACCGGAGAAUGUUAUCACGGGAGACACACGGCGGGUGCUAACGUCCGUCGUGAAGAGGGAAACAACCCAGACCGCCAGCUAAGGUCCCAAAGUCAUGGUUAAGUGGGAAACGAUGUGGGAAGGCCCAGACAGCCAGGAUGUUGGCUUAGAAGCAGCCAUCAUUUAAAGAAAGCGUAAUAGCUCACUGGUCGAGUCGGCCUGCGCGGAAGAUGUAACGGGGCUAAACCAUGCACCGAAGCUGCGGCAGCGAACGUAUCACCCAAGACAACUUUACGGAGUUGACGAUUGACGGAGCGAAGCGACGUCAAAGCGUUCAUUAAAGUCGAGUUGGCUUAGGGAUACGUUCGUUGGGUAGGGGAGCGUUCUGUAAGCCUGUGAAGGUGUGUCGUGAGGCAUGCUGGAGGUAUCAGAAGUGCGAAUGCUGACAUAAGUAACGAUAAAGCGGGUGAAAAGCCCGCUCGCCGGAAGACCAAGGGUUCCUGUCCAACGUUAAUCGGGGCAGGGUGAGUCGACCCCUAAGGCGAGGCCGAAAGGCGUAGUCGAUGGGAAACGGGUUAAUAUUCCCGUACUUGGUGUUACUGCGAAGGGGGGACGGAGAAGGCUAUGUUGGCCGGGCGACGGUUGUCCCGGUUUAAGCGUGUAGGUGUGUGUUCCAGGUAAAUCCGGUUCACUUUAACACUGAGGCGUGACGACGAGGCACUACGGUGCUGAAGCAACAAAUGCCCUGCUUCCAGGAAAAGCCUCUAAGCAUCAGGUAACACGAAAUCGUACCCCAAACCGACACAGGUGGUCAGGUAGAGAAUACCAAGGCGCUUGAGAGAACUCGGGUGAAGGAACUAGGCAAAAUGGUGCCGUAACUUCGGGAGAAGGCACGCUGACACGUAGGUGAAGUGAUUUACUCAUGGAGCUGAAGUCAGUCGAAGAUACCAGCUGGCUGCAACUGUUUAUUAAAAACACAGCACUGUGCAAACACGAAAGUGGACGUAUACGGUGUGACGCCUGCCCGGUGCCGGAAGGUUAAUUGAUGGGGUCAGCGUAAGCGAAGCUCCUGAUCGAAGCCCCGGUAAACGGCGGCCGUAACUAUAACGGUCCUAAGGUAGCGAAAUUCCUUGUCGGGUAAGUUCCGACCUGCACGAAUGGCGUAAUGAUGGCCAGGCUGUCUCCACCCGAGACUCAGUGAAAUUGAACUCGCUGUGAAGAUGCAGUGUACCCGCGGCAAGACGGAAAGACCCCGUGAACCUUUACUAUAGCUUGACACUGAACAUUGAGCCUUGAUGUGUAGGAUAGGUGGGAGGCUUUGAAGUGUGGACGCCAGUCUGCAUGGAGCCGACCUUGAAAUACCACCCUUUAAUGUUUGAUGUUCUAACGUGGACCCGUAAUCCGGGUUGCGGACAGUGUCUGGUGGGUAGUUUGACUGGGGCGGUCUCCUCCUAAAGAGUAACGGAGGAGCACGAAGGUUGGCUAAUCCUGGUCGGACAUCAGGAGGUUAGUGCAAUGGCAUAAGCCAGCUUGACUGCGAGCGUGACGGCGCGAGCAGGUGCGAAAGCAGGUCAUAGUGAUCCGGUGGUUCUGAAUGGAAGGGCCAUCGCUCAACGGAUAAAAGGUACUCCGGGGAUAACAGGCUGAUACCGCCCAAGAGUUCAUAUCGACGGCGGUGUUUGGCACCUCGAUGUCGGCUCAUCACAUCCUGGGGCUGAAGUAGGUCCCAAGGGUAUGGCUGUUCGCCAUUUAAAGUGGUACGCGAGCUGGGUUUAGAACGUCGUGAGACAGUUCGGUCCCUAUCUGCCGUGGGCGCUGGAGAACUGAGGGGGGCUGCUCCUAGUACGAGAGGACCGGAGUGGACGCAUCACUGGUGUUCGGGUUGUCAUGCCAAUGGCACUGCCCGGUAGCUAAAUGCGGAAGAGAUAAGUGCUGAAAGCAUCUAAGCACGAAACUUGCCCCGAGAUGAGUUCUCCCUGAGACUUAGAGUCUCCUGAAGGAACGUUGAAGACGACGACGUUGAUAGGCCGGGUGUGUAAGCGCAGCGAUGCGUUGAGCUAACCGGUACUAAUGAACCGUGAGGCUUAACCUU
rnacentral:rRNA from 1 species